rnacentral:rRNA from 1 species
GACAGAGGGUGCAAACGUUGUUCGGAUUUACUGGGCGUAAAGCGCGUGUAGGCGGCCCGGUAAGUCCGCUGUGAAAGUCGGGGGCUCAACCCUCGGAUGCCGGUGGAUACUGUCGGGCUAGAGUACGGAAGAGGCGAGUGGAAUUCCUGGUGUAGCGGUGAAAUGCGCAGAUAUCAGGAGGAACACCAAUUGCGAAGGCAGCUCGCUGGGACGUUACUGACGCUGAGACGCGAAAGCGUGGGGAGCAAACAGG